CAAGCGGUGGAGCAUGUGGUUUAAUUCGAUGCAACGCGAAGAACCUUACCUACUCUUGACAUCCACCGAACUUAGCAGAGAUGCUUUGGUGCCUUCGGGAACGCUGAGACAGGUGCUGCAUGGCUGUCGUCAGCUCGUGUUGUGAAAUGUUGGGUUAAGUCCCGCAACGAGCGCAACCCUUAUCCUUUGUUGCCAGCGAUACGGUCGGGGACUCAAAGGAGACUGCCGGUGAUAAACCGGAGGAAGGUGGGGAUGACGUCAAGUCAUCAUGGCCCUUACGAGUAGGGCUACACACGUGCUACAAUGGCGCAUACAAAGAGAAGCGACCUCGCGAGAGCAAGCGGACCUCACAAAGUGCGUCGUACUCCGGAUCGGAGUCUGCAACUCGACUCCGUGAAGUCGGAAUCGCUAGUAAUCGUGGAUCAGAAUGCCACGGUGAAUACGUUCCCGGGCCUUGUACACACC
rnacentral:rRNA from 1 species